rnacentral:lncRNA from 1 species
GGUCCGGGCCUUCCCAUGUGAGUGCCAAACCGAAGUCCGUCAAGCGCGGCGCCCAGCUCGCAUCGAGAAGGAUAUUGGACGGCUUGACGUCGCGGUGGAUCACCGGCCGCUCUGCGUAAGAUUGCAGGUACUCGAUGGCCCGGGACACCCCAAGCAGUAUCUCGAUACGCAUCUUCCAGGACGCCGUCACCGGCGACGGCGACGGCUGGCCGUGCAGGUGGAUGUCGAGCGAGCGGUUCUCAAGAAACUCAUAGACGACCGACAGAUCUCCCUGCUUCUCGUCCUGCUUUUUCCAGAUAUUCACAGGGAACUUCUGCGGGACACAGGAUCCAAAGAGACGGACGAUGUGCUUGUGGCUAACUGAGUGGAGGAUGGUCACCUCUGCCUGGAACUCUUCUAUCCCUUGAUCUGAGCCGUGCUCUCUCCGCUUGAUGGCUACCUCUCGACCGUCAGGAAGCCAUCCCAUGUACACCGAGCCGAACCCGCCUUCACCGAUCUUUUUGUCAGGAGCAAAGUUGUUGGUGGCCUUUACGAGCUCCUUAAAAGUAAAUACUUCGACCUGAUGGGCUUCCUUCCAAUCGAUCUUUGGAGCAUUCUAGUAUAGAGAUGCACAUAUCGAAAAGGGGGAAAUAAAGAGGAAAAAUCAGAAUUCUAAGCUUCCUUUGGAGGCUGGAGCCAAAGUAUAAUUGCACAGUUGAAAGCUUGAGGCUCCAUAUGCAUUACAAAUUUACAAUCUGUACCUGGGAGUCUUGGACGGCGAUCUGGUGCAUGGAGAAAGCAGGCGUAGAUGAUGGCCCGGCCGCGUCGUUUGGAACCAGGAUGUUGUAUAUUCGAUCGAGACGACGAGUGAUGUCUAUGUGGCUGAUAACGGGGAAGAGGAGGAGGUAGGAGUCGAUCCUGCUCUGAACAUCCCUGAACCUCUCAGCCUGCCUUCCGCUCAGCACCAACCGGUACACAGCGCUCUUGUCCUGGCAUGCCAUCACGAGCUUGUGCGCCUCCCGGAGCGCGUCGUCGAGCCCGGCCAGCGGCCGCCGGAUCUCGGGCCGCCGCAGCACCUCCGGGUCCUGCAGGUGCUGCAGCAGCUCGCCGACCGUGAAGACGCGGCGGGCGAGCUGCUCGCACUCUUUCUUGUUCUGCUGAGCCGUCACUGCUGCCUGGAUUAUCAUGGAGAUGAGGCCGCCGACGUCCGCCCCGACCAGCUGCGCCACCGUCGCCGCCUGCCCCAGCACCGUCCACAUCUCUCUCGCAGUGGCAGUCUCGCAACUUGUCAGGAUGGUUUGGUUGCUAGUUGCUACCAAACUGGCGCGGAAGAACAGAAGGGCGAGGGAAAAAUGCGGAGGCUGAUCCGGAGAAACGAAGUUUCCUGGAAGUGGUGUGGAAUGGUUGGAUGUGGUCAACUGGUCACCGCAGACGCGGAGCGGCGGAGGCGACUAGGGGACAGUCGUCUCCCGGUUGGGAGACCCCCGACAGGUGGGGUUCACCUGGCAGUGAAAGAGGAGGGGAAGAUAGAGGCAGUUAUGAGGUCGGACUAGGCGAGCUGCUCCAGCAGCAUCCGUUCCAUCCCCGCGGUUUAUUUUUUUUGGGUGUGGGGGGGGGGGGGGGGGGGGGGGGGGAGGCUAUUGUUGCCAGCCCAGUUCGAAACGGGGCUUCAUAAAAAUUUGUGCAUUAAGGUGACAGAACAAGAGGGGGCCAUCUCUGUUGUUGGGGUUUGUGUCUGCAGCUGGGUACCGAUCGACAACAGGUGAUGGCACAGGUGGGUUUGCUCUGCUUCGCCAUCUCUGGUGUUUGUGUCUGCUGUGUUAUUUUUCCUGUGUGAUCCAUUUCCUCCUAGAUUUUCGUGUUGAAAAAAAAGAAAACACAUGUACAUCAGCAUCAGGGAUGCAAAAAAAAAAGCACAUAUAGGAUUGUUUUGUGUGGGGAUAACAAAACUGUGUGUGAAAAUAAAAUUUCUGAAAGGAAAAAGUGCCUCAAAAGAAUCACAGAUAUUUUUAUACUUGUGCAGGUAUAUACAUGUAGCUUGUUUUCUUUACAAGCUCACUGACUGAUGAUUGUUAACAUCCCAUUUCACACAUAGUGCAUGUACAAGACAUAAUAUUUUGUUGUUCCAUUUCGCACACAGAUUUCACAGGCACACGACAUUCAAUUCGUACCAUUUUUACACGAAUUUCAGACGUACCACAUAGAACAUAAAACUGAUUUCUGAUAACAACAAUGGAUUCAAGGACAAAUUUGCAUAAUGAAAAAUUGCACCUAUAUUGCAAACUACAAUAAAAUUAUGCCAAUAAAAAAGUUAGAGGUAAAAUUUUGUACAAACAAAAAGAUACAAGUUUCCCUACAAAAUAUAAAGUUUUUUCCCAACUAUGGUACAAAUAAAAAAAAUACACUGCUAACAUGCUGCAUAGGAUGCAAUUCUACAAGUUUUGUGAUUUUUAAUUUGAACAUGACCGCACAUAGUUAUUUAGCGAAGUGCAAAACACUAAAAAAACACCGGCACUUUUCGAUGAAGGAGGUGCCUCGAAAACAUGCAUUACACGUCACUCAUAUCAAGAACACUUGGUAAACUCUUAGUCUGCAAAAUACAACAUAAUAUUUGUCAAGAUACAAAUGAUAUUAAAGUUUUGUACAUCUGCAUAUCACAGUAAAAACAAAAAUAAACUAUACCAGAUUAGCUUAUGAACUUGAAAUUUCAAGAACAAUGAAUUUCUAGAAGAGAUAAAGAACAAUGCUACAUCGGUAAUAAAAGCACACCCUGUGUAACUAUAGUAUACGGCAUCAUUAAUUUAUUAUCAAACAUUAAAACAUAAGUUAUAAAUAAGAAUUUCAAGGAUUGAAAGAAAACUCAUGUUAAUAAAUCACAGUCAAAAUAAUCGUUACAAAGUUAAGUACAUGUAUCUAAUAAAACCAUAACUAUAGUUUAAGUAAAAAAGGUCCUGAGCAACAAAAUAGAGCUUUCACGAAUAGAAGUUUCUUUCUUUUGCAUAGAAGCAUAUCUCUUCUAAAAGAUAAAUGCUAACACGAGAACAGAGCAGCACAAAGAAGUAGAGAGAGAGAGAGCUUAAGGCCAGCUUAAAGCUUCCUCGACUAAAACACUCCUUAAGUGAUCUGAGGUGCCAGUCACUUUCUCAAGGAAAGAUCAGUUGACUGAGAAAACACUUGAGAAAAGGAAAGAUCAGUUGACUAAUUUCUCAGAUCAAGGACGCUACCUUCUCGUUCUGGAUCCAGUAGUCGCAGGUUCUCUACUCACCAAGGUCCUGAUCGAUGGCGGUAGUGAUCUCAACGUACUCUUUGCUAAGACUUUGAGGAAGAUGGGCCUAGACGUUACGGAUAUGCUCACCCCGACGAACUGUCCAUUCUACGGGAUUGUCCCAGGCAACGCGGCUGUACCCCUUGGUCAGGUGGUUUUGCCAGUUACCUUCGGGACCAAGGAACACUACCGGACAGAGUACAUCCGAUUUAAGGUAUCUGAUUUCGAAACUUCAUAUCACGCUAUCCUCGGAAGACCUGCUCUGGCUAAGUUCAUGGCCAUCCCACAUUACGUGUACCUAGUACUCAAAAUGCCGGGACCCAAGGGAGUACUCUCCCUAUGCGGAGACUUGAAAAGAUCCUUCGAGUGCAACACAGAAGCCGUGGAGUUGGCAGCGACUAUUCAAGUGCCAAAUUCCAUGAUGCAAGUCUUCGCUGCCUCCAAAAAAUUGUCUCCGACUGAACACGACAUCCCAGAGAAGCAGUCGGAGGCAACCAAGGUCAAGCCGACAAGUGAAGUUGAUAUUAAAGCCAUCGACCUCGAGAUUGGCGACAGCUCCAAGACAACCCUAAUUGGCUCAGGGCUAGAUCCCAAAUAGGAACACGCGCUCAUCAGCUUCUUCCAGGCCAACGGAGAUAUCUUUGCAUGGAAGCCAUCUGAUAUGCCGGGGGUGUCCAGGGAGUUGAUCGAGCACUCACUAAAUAUGGAUUCCAAAGCUAUAUCCAAGCGACAAUGACUACGACAAUACGCCCAAGACAGAAGAGAUGCAAUCAAAAAAUAGUUGGCCAAACUACUUGUAGCUGGAUUCAUAAAAGAUGUCUAUCAUCCAGAGUGGCUGGCUAAUCCUGUCUUGGUAUGAAAGAAGAACAACAACGAGUGAAGGAUGUGUGUCAACUACACGGACCUCAACAAGCACUGUCCAAAGGACCCUUUAGGCUCCCUAGGAUUGAUCAAGUCAUCGACUCGAUGGUUGGAUGUGCUCUACUCUGUUUCCUUGAUUGCUACUCGGGGUAUCACCAAAUAGCUCUCAAGGAAGAAGACCAGAUCAAGACCGCGUUCAUCACCCCGUAUGGAGCUUUCUUCUAUACUACAAUGUCCUUCUGGUUGAAGAAUGCAGGCGCCACAUACCAACGAGCCAUCUAGGAGUUCUUCAAGAAAUAACUACAUCGCAACGUAGAGGCAUACGUGCAUGACGUGGUCGCAAAGACCAGAAAUCCCAACGACUUGAUUGAGGAUCUGGAAGAAACCUUUGUGUUAGAUUUAUAAGCCCAGCAGUCCACCAGGGGGUUACCCAAGUGGUUGAUUUGUAGGUGGAGGCGAUUGUGAAACCAAGAACUCGAAAGUGAUCACGAGAACACGACGGACAUGAGGGUUUUAGACAGGUUCGAGCCUCCGAAGAGUAAUACCCUACGUCCUGUAUGCUAGAUCGUAUUGCUCGAGAUUGAUCUGAUGCCCUCGAAAGGCAUCCUUGGCUGCCUUAUAAAGGCUGACAACCUAGGAUUUACAAGUUGGUUUGAAUCUUAUCUACUUGGUAGUUGCAUGAAAGGUAAUCUGAGUUGAACUACAAUACGUGUCCCAAAAUAUCCGGGCAGAUUUGAACUGUCUGGCUGCCUUGUCUUGUACUCCAAGUAUCUUCGUGUCUUUGGCCCGCUAACCCUGGUCGAGCGGGUCCACUUGUCAGGUUCGACCAUUAUCCUGGUCGUUAGGGACCCAUGGGGUACCCAUAUCCCUCAAGCCCUUGAGCGAUGUGUAGGCAAAUAGAAACUUGAGGUCAAAUUGGUACUAUUCUUGUCAAAUUGAAUAUUGUGCCUUUUUUUCUAUUUGGAUAUUUCAGGUGUGUGCUCAACUAGCAGAUAUGAUAGGUAUAAUGAACCGAGCUGAAGAUGGGUUUUCAUGGGCUCCCAACGUGAAGCUUGCAAUUGCACUUGACUUGCUGAAUGAGUGCUCUUAUUGUGUUGAAAAAAUUCAACUCAUGUGACAACACACAGGCACCGACCUAUUGAGUCUAAAAGGGAGAAAUAGUAUAUAUUAUUUAUUGUCAUAUUUUUUUUGGGAAUUGAUCAUAUGAUUAUUCCUUUUGCAAGUUGAGAUAAAGAACAUCCAAGUGCAAAGUGCUUAUGUUAUUUGCAAAGUGAUCUUUCGUUUCACAUUGGGGCAUUUGACAUUUUAAUUAUGCCUUAAUUGAAAUGUAGUGUUGUAAUUAGCUGACACCUUCCAGAAACAUAAUACAUAUGUGUAGGAAAAACAAAUGCCUUGUAUUCCUUUUUUUUAUAGAAGUAAAUAUUUCACACGAUGAUGCUUGAUGAAAUUUAGCAACGCACGGGCAUGAUCCUAGUUGUAUAAAAAAAUAUAAGCUCAGCAACCUACUAGUACUUUGAUGUCUUCCCCUUUAUCUUGCUAUAACAAUUAUGAAGCACCUGUUUACUGUAAUUCAAUCUCAUUUUACUAGCAAGCUAGAAUUUUAGUGGAGGGCUCGGAGUCAUGGCAUGCAUAGUUAACUCAACCAAGAAUACAGUGUCAAACUACUACUAAAGUUUCAGUUUUGAGAUUCCAUAGACAUUCUUGCAGUAUAGGAACUAUGCUUUGUUGUACAUGCUAUUUCAAAGAAUACAAAUGUCAAGCUACCAUUAAAGUUUCAAUUUUCAUCACCAUCUCACCAUGAUACAUUGAUAUGCCUAAUUGUGUAAGCGCGCAGGAGGGAACAAAGCAACAGCGUUAAUCAUGAUGGAUCAUUCUACAUGAGAGAUACAUUCACCGACUCCCGAACCAGACUAGCCAUCGCAACGGGCCAGCUCUAGCGCCGUCUCGAGGGUGGCCACGACUUCCGAAAUGGACGGCCGGGCCUCCCACUGCAGCCGCACGCAGCGCACUGCCUCCUGCGCCACCAGUUCCGCCGCCUCCAGCUGUCUCGGCGUUGGCUUCACUGCCGGGCGCCUGUCCAGCACCUUCCACAGCUCACCCGCCUCAAUCAGUGGCACGGCCAACUCCACCAAGGUGUAGCUGUUGUAGCGAGCAAAGUUGUCCUGCUUUGCCCUCUCCUCAGUCUCCUCAUCCCGUUCUUCUGUCGUGUCCUCUUCCUCACACUCGUCUCCCUCCUCUGUUUCCUUCCAUUCGUCUCUCUUCUGCUGCUCUUCCUCCCACUCUUCUCUCUCCUCCUCCAACUCCCGUACUUCUCUCUUCUUCUCUUCCUCAUAGGCGCGUAUCUCCUUCUCCCUUUCUUCUUCUAACAAAUGUCUUGAUGUCUUCCCCGUCAAUACCUCCAGCAUCACAACACCAAAACUGUAGACGUCGCUCGUCAGGUUCAGAUCGCCUCUAAGAGCGUACUCCGGGGCUAUGUAUCCAUAGGUGCCGCAGACAGUCUCCGUAUGGUCCGGGCCUUCCCAUGUGAGUGCCAAACCGAAGUCCGUCAAGCGCGGCGCCCAGCUCGCAUCGAGAAGGAUAUUGGACAACUUGACGUCGCGGUGGAUCACCGGCAGCUCGGCGUAAGAUUGCAGGUACUCGAUGGCCCGGGACACGCCAAGCAGUAUCUCGAUGCGCAUCUUCCAGGACGCCGUCACCGGCGACGGCGAUGGCUGGCCGUGCAGGUGGAUGUCGAGCGAGCGGUUCUCAAGAAACUCAUAGACGACCAACAGAUCUCCCUGCUUCUCGUUCUGCUUUUUCCAGAACUUCGGAAGAAGCUGGCGCUUCUCCUGCGGGACACAGG